rnacentral:rRNA from 1 species
AUAAACCGUGGCUCAGUUCAGAUCGUAGGCUGCAACUCGCCUACGUGAAGGAGGAAUCGCUAGUAAUCGCAGGUCAGCAUACUGCGAGUGAAUACGUUCCCGGGCCUUGUACACACCGCCCGUCACACCAUGGAAGUUGGCCACGCCCGAAGCCGUUACUCCAACCCUUGUGGAGGAGGACGUCGAAGGUGGGGCUGAUGACUGGGGUGAAGUCGUAACAAGGUAGCCGUACCGGAAGGUGCGGCUGGAUCACCUCCUAA